CCACCUUUAAUCAGUGUGCAGGCAGGAGAAAGGCUGCCCACCCCUGUCUGUGGGUUGGUGCCUCCUAGGGAAAGGUUUUCUCUCUGACCUGUCAGUAAGCGCUGUGCUGAACAGGUCAGCCAGCACUGCAUCAGCCUGUUGGGCAAGUCUGCGGGGCUGCCAGCUGUAAGGAUAAAGUUGUUUAAAAGGCGUUGUUGCACGAAGAGUAAGUACUGCGCUACGGGCGUGUUGCACGGAGGCUGCGGGCUAUGUAUGGUAACUGCGGGACCGGCGGUUUGCUGUGUAACCUGCUGACAGUGCACCCAGGAACCACAGUUAGGACAAGUCAUUGAUUUGUUUCCUGCCAUAAAACAUUUCCUGCCAUAAAACAAGAAAUGGAAGAAGAUAAAAGGCAGAGUGCUAAAGCUACCAGUGCAGUGGGUGACUUGAGGAAAAGUUGGCAGACCUGGGCAGAGGAUCACAUUGAGUAUCAGAGAAAGAACCCGUUCAGCAGCAAUGACAGGCUUGCAUCUAAACCCGUGAAUACUCACAGAGGAGAUCCUACCUACGGGAGACCCCCCGAAGGGUCUCAGACAGAGCAGAGAGGGAAAGAUGCUCACUCACACGUGGGUAAGGAAGUAGAAGAGCUGUGCUUGAUCAUUAGAAGCACUGGUGAGGUGGGAGAAGAUGGACAUGUGAGUGUGACAUUCGGGAAGCUGUUUGAAACAUAUGUGACUAUUUCCAAUAAAGUAGUGGGAAUCUUGUUAAGAGCCAGAAAACACGGUCUGGUUCAUUUUGAAGGUGAAAUGCUUUGGCAAGGAAAAGAUGAUGAUGUGAUCAUUACUUUACUAGAAUAAGGCUUUGUCAUCUAGUGAAUUCUGCUGCACGGUUCCAUUUGGAAAAACAUAUCUAGAUACCAUCUUGAGAGAGGUUUUUGUUACAGAAGUUCAAUUCAGCUACUUACGGGGACAUGAGCAGGAGAGAAAAUGGGUGAGAAGGGUAAAAAAUAUUUUCAUAAAAAUGGUAGAGAUUUGGACAGAAAUCACAAAUAAUGAGCUAAUCUAUUGUGCUGACAUUGGAUUGUCUUUUCAUUAUUAUCAUCUACUACCAAGUGUACCACAGUUCUUCAGAUAUCUCCACUGGCUUACUGCUUUAGGUUACUGAAAGUAAAAAUUACUAAUGCUACCAUACAUCACUGAUUCUUGCAGGUUGUGAAAUACUCACUGUGUGUGGGAUUUUGAUGUGUAAAGCAUGGAAUGUGAAACUUACGGGCAUUCAUAUACUUGUUCAAAAAAGAGUCUGAUAUAUAACAAAAGUUUAGCUUAUUUUCACAUGGUGAAACUGAAUAAAUGGAAGUUACUUGCA